rnacentral:rRNA from 1 species
AACGAACGCUGGCGGCAUGCCUAACACAUGCAAGUCGAACGAGACCUUCGGGUCUAGUGGCGCACGGGUGCGUAACGCGUGGGAACCUGCCCUUAGGUUCGGAAUAACUCCCCGAAAGGGGUGCUAAUACCGGAUAAUGUCUUCGGACCAAAGAUUUAUCGCCUUUGGAUGGGCCCGCGUUGGAUUAGCUAGUUGGUAGGGUAAAAGCCUACCAAGGCGACGAUCCAUAGCUGGUCUGAGAGGAUGAUCAGCCACACUGGGACUGAGACACGGCCCAGACUCCUACGGGAGGCAGGAGUGGGGGAUAUUGGACAAUGGGCGAAAGCAUGAACCAGCAAUGCCGCGUGAGUGAUGAAGGCCUUAGGGUUGUAAAGCUCUUUUACCCGGGAUGAUAAUGACAGUACCGGGAGAAUAAGCUCCGGCUAACUCCGUG